GAUGAAGAACGUAGCGAAAUGCGAUAAGUAAUGUGAAUUGCAGAAUUCAGUGAAUCAUCGAAUCUUUGCACGCACAUUGCGCCCUUUGGCAUUCCGAAGGGCACACCUGUCCGAGCGCCGUCGCACAACUGAGGCGCAGCCUUGCGUUGGCGGGCGACUUGUGAGUAGCGAGUCGCCGCCCAAACGAGACGGCGCCGCGCCGCGGCCGACGAAGCACGAAAGCGGAAGUCGACGCGGAGGCGGUUGCCUGUAGGAAGACACAGCUUGGCCUCGGAUCAGGUGGGGAUACCCGCUGAACUUAAGCAUAUCAAUAAGCGGAGGA
rnacentral:misc_RNA from 1 species